rnacentral:antisense_RNA from 1 species
UUUUCACCAACAGGAAGAGGAACCAGGAUCAGUCCAGUUAGAUGUACUGACUGCAUCAUUUAGUCCUCAGCACAAGGGGGCGAUCUUAUCACCAACCUACGGAUAAGGAAUCUGGCUGGGAAGGGCUGAAUGACCUGCUCAAUCAAGGUCACACAUCUAGAAAGAGGCACCUUCAGGACUUGAAUGAGAUGACUUUAAUAUCAAUGCCCGGGCUCCUCAUCACCAUGCUGUCUUGACCGUCUGCAACAAACCCUUCACUCGACAAAUGGGGAUGUUAAGGCCCAGAAAGGCAAAGAAAGUUCCCCAAGGUCACAAGGUCAAUUGGCCACAUAGUUGAGGCUGGCCAAGAGAAAAGAAUAAUUUCUUGCUGGAUUCUUAGGAGAACCAUACAGGAAUAAGCUCAUGGUUUCGACUUUGUUGGUUCUCUAGCAGGACGCGGGUGUCCUCAAGGUCACAGACCCCUGAUCUCCAUAAGUGUCCCUGACAUUUCAAGGGCACAAAUUCUCUGGACACACGGAGGGAAUAAUGCUGACAUUUUAUAGAAGCUGACCCACUGGAUAUCCUUCUCACCCAACUCCAUUAGGCUAGGGAGAGUAAGAGGCAUGGUGACAAGGUGGCAAAGAUGUCACCAUGCCAUCCAAUCACGAGGUCUCCAGGAAACUGUAUAAGAAGGACACCCCCAGAAACUCCUGGCACUACUGAACAAAUGUAUAAUAUCCCUGGGUAAAACCAAGAGUC